rnacentral:rRNA from 1 species
GAUGAACGCUGGCGGCGUGCCUAAUACAUGCGAGUCGAGCGAACGGACGAGAAGCUUGCUUCUCUGAUAUUAGCGGCGGACGGGUGAGUAACACGUGGAUAACCUACCUAUAAGACUGGGAUAACUUCGGGAAACCGGAGCUAAUACCGGAUGAUAUUUUGAACCGCAUGGUUCAAAAGUGAAAGACGGUCUUGCUGUCACUUAUAGAUGGAUCCGCGCUGCAUUAGCUAGUUGGUAAGGUAACGGCUUACCAAGGCAACGAUGCAUAGCCGACCUGAGAGGGUGAUCGGCCACACUGGAACUGAGACACGGUCCAGACUCCUACGGGAGGCAGCAGUAGGGAAUCUUCCGCAAUGGGCGAAAGCCUGACGGAGCAACGCCGCGUGAGUGAUGAAGGUCUUCGGAUCGUAAAACUCUGUUAUUAGGGAAGAACAUAUGUGUAAGUAACUGUGCACAUCUUGACGGUACCUAAUCAGAAAGCCACGGCUAACUACGUG